rnacentral:misc_RNA from 1 species
AAGUCGUAACAAGGUUUCCGUAGGUGAACCUGCGGAAGGAUCAUUAACACAAGUAAAAAAACAUUUUACAACACCCUAUUUAUGAAUUUAAAUUUUUUAAUUUUAAUUUUUUUUAUAAAACUACAAAAAAAAUAUUUAAUUUAUUUGACUAACAUUUUUUUAAUUUAUUUAUUUAAAAUUUUAUAAAACAACUCUUAACAACGGAUAUCUUGGCUCUC